rnacentral:lncRNA from 1 species
UUAUGCACAUCACCAGGCACCAUGAUGUUGAGAAGCUACGAAUGCCUAUCACCAAGGUAAUAGGAAUUUGAACAGACUAAACCAUUUAUUCGCCCUCAAAUACUCUUGGAAAGCACAUUUCUCACAAUGUCAAUCAUCACAUUUUCUCAGAUUAACCUGGCGAAAACUAAGAAAUCCAUUCUGCAAGACGUGAUGAAGCUUCAGGCCGACAGUUCUUUGCCAGCCGAUGCAAUAUGGUCAGUUCAUGCUCCUAGCGAUGGUUUUGAAGACACCCUCUGAACGCAAGCCAUUUUACGUGUCAGCCACAACACGCUUCAUGUCUUUCUCCAUAUGAGAUGACUUUUGCAACCCACCCAGCUAUGUUGUACCUUCAAACAGAAUACUUAUUAUCGUACAAGUCCCAGUACCAGGGCAACCAAGCAGACAACAUCUCUGUAGUGAAUAUGUUUUUUGGUCGCUAUCAUCCUUCAUCACCACUCGGUUUAACCAUUUUUGGGG